UACGAAGGGGGCUAGCGUUGCUCGGAAUUACUGGGCGUAAAGGGCGCGUAGGCGGCUAUUUAAGUUGGGGGUGAAAUCCCGGGGCUUAACCUCGGAAUUGCCUUCAAAACUGGAUAUCUUGAGUUCGGGAGAGGUGAGUGGAACUCCGAGUGUAGAGGUGAAAUUCGUAGAUAUUCGGAAGAACACCAGUGGCGAAGGCGACUCACUGGCCCGAUACUGACGCUGAGGCGCGAAAGCGUGGGGAGCAAACAGG
rnacentral:rRNA from 1 species